CAGCAGCCGCGGUAAUACGUAGGUGGCAAGCGUUGUUCGGAUUUACUGGGCGUAAAGGGCGCGUAGGCGGACUGAUAAGUCAGGGGUGAAAUCCCAAGGCUCAACCUUGGAACUGCCUUUGAUACUGUUUGUCUUGAGUUCGAGAGAGGUAAGUGGAACUGCGAGUGUAGAGGUGAAAUUCGUAGAUAUUCGCAAGAACACCAGUGGUGAAGGCGGCUUACUGGCUCGAAACUGACGCUGAGGCGCGAAAGCGUGGGGAGCAAACAGGAUUAGAUACCCCAGUAGUCCCUGUCUCUUAUAC
rnacentral:rRNA from 1 species